ensembl:lncRNA novel transcript
UUUGCUGUCUCAGGGUCAAACAUGCAACUCCUGCCUGCUUGUAUGGCCAGCUGGGUUCAAGAAGGAAGGAACCUCAUUGUUGACAGUUACCAGAUGAAUGUGCCCCUUCUGUACAGCUAAGAAAUGGAAUAGACAUUGGUAACCUUCCACAGGCCCACACAUGUGUUAUCAGCCAUACCUUAGGACAGAAGGAAUGAGUUUGCAGAAAGGAUGCCCUACAACCAUACUGAGAAUUUAGCCCUGGGGACAUCUUCCGAUAUAAUCUGGCAUAGAAGAGUGGUUAUCACACCUUUAGCAUGGGACCCUUGAGACACCUUUGCUGUGAAUAAUGGAGAAGCAAAAGGAGUUACUAAUGAAGACAAACUAAACCUGAGAACAGAGAGAGCCUAACUAUGUGCUCCAGAAGUGCCAUGUGUGUCUAAGAUGAAGUUUCGCUCUUCUUGCCCAGGCUGGAGUGCAAUGGCACAAUCUCAGCUCACUGCAACCUCUGCCUCCUGGGUUCAAGCGAUUCUCCUGCCUCAGCCCCCUGAGUAGCUGGGAUUACAGGUUCCUAUAAAGUUCCUGAUAGUUGAAGAAAGUCAGGAGAUCUUAGAAACUGACUUUCAUUUAUAACCUGCUGAUUCACCUAGAUCAGGUUACUGGGAAGAAAUCCAAGUCAGACCUCCUGACCUACUCGAAACAGCAUGAGGUUCUGAAGGGGCCCAGGAAGAAACCUCCUCUUCCCCAGCUGAGUUGAGAACCAAGUGGAAGACAAAGAAGUUAGACAGCAGAUGAAAAAGUGACCUGCCUUGCACCUUGCCAGUUGGCUUGCUAGCUCUCCCCUGAUUUGAACUUCUGACAACAGAACAUGCUCCACCAAACUUACCAUGUGAAGGACAGCACAUGGGCAUUCUUUCUGAGACCUGCAAAGAAAACAAAGGGAGAGGCUAAGCAGACAAAGGAAAACUCUUUCUUCUCAAAUCAAUCAGAUAAUGAACUCCUGUUCCCUUUAGGAGAAAUGAGUGGGUGGGGAGAGAAAAGCAAGCAGUUGACCUCUGGAGGUCCUUAGACUUAAAAACAUAAAGCCCAAGGAAGAAAAUUCCUCCCCAGCAUUAACUUGGACCAGUAAUGUUUUUCUAUUUAUAUUCCAUAUGUAAAUAUGCCUGUGAGGUAUUAUGUAUUGUCUUUGUGCCUUUAAGUGCAUUUCUUUAAAAAAUCUGUAACUUUAAACUUAAAUAGAAAGGCACAAAAUGGAUUGUUAUUUUAUACAAUGGAGUUCUGA